rnacentral:pre_miRNA from 1 species
AUUUGGCUCUAAAAUCUUGCUGUGGGCAUUGAAAUCCAGCAAGUUUCAGAGCUUUUUG